AUAUCAAUAAGCGGAGGAAAAGAAACCAACAGGGAUUGCCCUAGUAACGGCGAGUGAAGCGGCAACAGCUCAAAUUUGAAAUCUGGCCUUCGGGUCCGAGUUGUAAUUUGUAGAGGAUGCUUUUGGUGCAGCGCCUUCCGAGUUCCUUGGAACAGGACGCCUUAGAGGGUGAGAGCCCCGUACGGUUGGACGCUAAGCCUCUGUAAAGCUCCUUCGACGAGUCGAGUAGUUUGGGAAUGCUGCUCUAAAUGGGAGGUAAAUUUCUUCUAAAGCUAAAUACCGGCCAGAGACCGAUAGCGCACAAGUAGAGUGAUCGAAAGAUGAAAAGUACUUUGAAAAGAGGGUUAAAUAGCACGUGAAAUUGUUGAAAGGGAAGCGUUUAUGACCAGACCUUCGCCCGGCGGAUCAUCCGGUGUUCUUCACCGGUGCACUUCGCCUGGCUUAGGCCAGCAUCGAUUUCCGCAGGGGGAUAAAAACCGUGGGAACGUAGCUCUCUUCGGAGAGUGUUAUAGCCCUAGGUAUAAUACCUCUGUGGGGAUCGAGGUUCGCGCUCCGGCAAGGAUGCUGGCGUAAUGGUCAUCAACGACCCGUCUUGAAACACGGACCAAGGAGUCGAACAUUUGUGCGAGUGUUUGGGUGUCAAACCCUCACGCGUAAUGAAAGUGAACGGAGGUGAGAGCCUUAGGGUGCAUCAUCGACCGAUCCUGAUGUCUUCGGAUGGAUUUGAGUAAGAGCAUAACUGUUCGGACCCGAAAGAUGGUGAACUAUGCGUGGAUAGGGUGAAGCCAGAGGAAACUCUGGUGGAGGCUCGCAGCGGUUCUGACGUGCAAAUCGAUCGUCAAAUCUGCGCAUGGGGGCGAAAGUAAGUUUUGAAUUUUUUUUAUCCCGCGUCCCCUUAUUUGAAUAAAAUCUUAAGGGGCGAAUAUGCUAACUGGUGUUUUUUGUAGGACUUAUCGAACCAUC
rnacentral:rRNA from 1 species